AUAGCGUAUAUUAAAGUUGUUGCAGUUAAAAAGCUCGUAGUUGAACCUUGGGCCUGGCUGGCCGGUCCGCCUCACCGCGUGCACUGGUCCGGCCGGGCCUUUCCUUCUGGCUAGCCACAUGCCCUUAAUUGGGUGUGUUGGGGAACCAGGACUUUUACUUUGAAAAAAUUAGAGUGUUCAAAGCAGGCCUAUGCUCGAAUACAUUAGCAUGGAAUAAUAGAAUAGGACGUGUGGUUCUAUUUUGUUGGUUUCUAGGACCGCUGUAAUGAUUAAUAGGGAUAGUCGGGGGCAUCAGUAUUCAAUUGUCAGAGGUGAAAUUCUUGGAUUUAUGGAAGACUAACUACUG
rnacentral:rRNA from 1 species